rnacentral:rRNA from 1 species
UGGGGAAUUUUGGACAAUGGGCGAAAGCCUGAUCCAGCAAUGCCGCGUGUGUGAAGAAGGCCUUCGGGUUGUAAAGCACUUUUGUCCGGAAAGAAAUCCUUGGCUCUAAUACAGUCGGGGGAUGACGGUACCGGAAGAAUAAGCACCGGCUAACUACGUGCCAGCAGCCGCGGUAAUACGUAGGGUGCAAGCGUUAAUCGGAAUUACUGGGCGUAAAGCGUGCGCAGGCGGUUUGCUAAGACCGAUGUGAAAUCCCCGGGCUCAACCUGGGAACUGCAUUGGUGACUGGCAGGCUAGAGUAUGGCAGGAGGGGGGUAGAAUUCCACGUGUAGCAGUGAAAUGCGUAGAGAUGUGGAGGAAUACCGAUGGCGAAGGCAGCCCCCUGGGCCAAUACUGACGCUCAUGCA